UACAGGCCAGGCAAUUCUCAAAAAUGGCUUAGAGUUUGGCAAUCCUGUCCUUCUUUCUGAACAGAACUUAAGAAAGCUCUGUGUAAGGAAGGACUUCAAAGUGAAGCUCCAGAAAGUGACAACAGCGAUUCUUCCUUUGCAGUGCAGUACCCUAUGGCACGAUACUCCACCAACUGCCAGCUCACCCCUGGAUGCGGCCUGCUGUGGAGAGCCGUCUUUGCAUUGAAGAUUCUUCAACAGCUGCAUGGAUUUUCCAGCCAUGAUGAUUUGCUUUAGCACAGGUUUCAGAAAGGAGACCAUCGUGUGUUGCCUGCUUGAAGGGGCCUGAUCACUGCCAGAACUGGCACUGGCAUUAUCACUCAUCUUCUCUUCGUUCUCUGUCUUUUCUGACACACUAUAUAACGUGUAGGUAGCAUACCAAAAAUCUCUGUGAUUAACCGGAACAUUUUUGUUCCUG
rnacentral:lncRNA from 1 species